rnacentral:rRNA from 1 species
GUUGACCUCGGAUCAGGUAGGGAUACCCGCUGAACUUAAGCAUUCCAAAUAAGCGGAA